CGUUUGUCUCCUGACGGCGGUGAUGGAGGCCAGGCCGCGGCGCUGAUGGAGGCGGGAAAGGCUAGAUGUACACCUUUAAUGAUGUCCAAGUCGUCAGUGGUAUAUCUCCUUCUUCUUCUUCCGCUGCAUUAUUAUCCCGUUUCUAUUCGGGGUCGCUGUUUUUGAUGAGUCUCCUCCAUCUAACCCUGUCCUCCGCCACUUCAAGGUCCAAGCUGUUUUUGAUGAGUCUCCUCCAUCUAACCCUGUCCUCCGCCACUUCAAGGUCCAAGCUGUUUUUGAUGAGUCUCCUCCAUCUAACCCUGUCCUCCGCCACUUCAAGGUCCAAGCUGUUUUUGAUGAGUCUCCUCCAUCUAACCCUGUCCUCCGCCACUUCAAGGUCCAAGCUGUUUUUGAUGAGUCUCCUCCAUCUAACCCUGUCCUCC